CUUUGCAGCGAUUUUUGUGGUGAUAACUUAUUGUUAGUAUACAAACAGUUAGAGAGGGAAUUGGGUGAGAACCCCAAACAGUACCCGCUGCUGUAAGUUUUCACGUUGAUUAACUUUUUGUUAUCAACAAGCCGACAAGCAACCAUAGCCACUGAGUAUACAGAUGAUACGCUACUCGGGAAGGCAUCGAAAAGUCGGUCGAAUGUAGAGAAAACGAGUCAGAAAACCUGCCAUAUAAAAUCGCACCAA
rnacentral:ncRNA from 2 species